UACGAAAGGGGCUAGCGUUGUUCGGAAUUACUGGGCGUAAAGCGCACGUAGGCGGCUCUGUAAGAUGGGGGUGAAAUCCCGGGGCUCAACUCCGGAACUGCCUUCAUGACUGCAUGGCUCGAGGAUGCGAGAGGUUGGCGGAAUUCCGAGUGUAGAGGUGAAAUUCGUAGAUAUUCGGAAGAACACCAGUGGCGAAGGCGGCCAACUGGCGCAUUUCUGACGCUGAGGUGCGAAAGCGUGGGGAGCAAACAGG
rnacentral:rRNA from 1 species